rnacentral:tRNA from 1 species
GGAGCAGUAGCGCAGUGGUUGUGCUUGUGUGUGGUGUGCACAAGGUUUGGGGUUCGAUCCCCAAGCCACCCCU